GGCUGAUGUGAAUGUCAUCAGUUCUGCAGGUCAUAAACCAAAGUAUUGGACACAUUAAAUGUUUACCUGAAGGUGGCGCUAGAUGAGAGGUGUUUACAGUUCAUCCUGAGGGGAGCAUGAAUGAUGAACCACAACCAUCACAGUCCAUCCAGUGGUUGUUGAGAGAUCCAUCAAAGUGGUGGACUGAGCAGAGCUGUUAGUGUGGUUUGUUGUAAUCCUGCGAGGACACUGUGUGAUUUUUUCAAGUACAAUCUGAAUUCACUUCUGUGCUUCACUGGAAAGUUGCUCUGAGGUUUCCCAAGGGGACGCUACUGAGAAGCUGGCUCACCAAGUCGCGGCCCAGGUUGCUGCUGCUGAUCGCAGGGUUGAAGAGGCCUCAGGUGACCCUCAUGAGGAGGAAAAGGAUGAAGCGCACAAAAGUAGCAAAGGCCACGUAAGCGAACCUGCAGCCGGAUGCCCCACUUCACCUGAGUCCUUAACAGAGAGGAACUGCUCGUUAGAUAUGGACGACAAAGAAAAGGAAGACCUGUGUGUUGGAUCUUUGCCCCAGCAACAAACUAAAAUCCAGGAACCACAUAACAGAGUGACGUCAGAUGACGAACCACAGAGAUUGAGACCUCCAGACUAAUCAGGAUUACACCCAGACCUGGACUACCAGCUUCACCCUCUCUCUUCAAACAUACACCUGUUUUGGCUCAUUAGACUCAUGACCGUGGCUUGUACAUCAUUCGUAUCCAAAGACAAACUGUCCCUGUGUUCUUAGUUCAGGCUCUUUCAGGUUUCACGGUGUUUGUGUUUGAGUCUCAGAGGAGUCCAAACCAGCUGCUGAUUAAACUUUUAGGGGACGCCAACUGCUGCCUCACAAUCGUCUCUCAGAUCAAAACUCAAGGGUCACUUCCACACGAUGUGCAGCGUCACAUAACGCACACUCCCAAAUGUGUGAAUGUUACAAAAUUCCAGCUUUAACGAUCUGGAAAUUUGUCAUGUCUAUUCAGAUGAUUCAGACACUGCAACUAGGAAACAAGGUUGCUAAUCUUGGCAAAACCUGUCUGAGAUAGAAACGGAAAUAAAUUAGCUGAAUUAUCUGUGCUGUCGUUGCAGGACACACUUCCAAGAACUUGAAGUCUUGGACUGACUAAAUGAGACACAUUUGCAGACUGGAGCUUUUAGGUUUUAGUCAAACUUAAUGUGGUUUUUCCUUUUUCAUAAAGUGGGCAGAAAAAGUUUGGAACAAAACUCUUAAUUUUUGUUGUUUGUCUGUCCGUAAUGGUAACCACACCUCUGGCUCAAACGAUGGAGAGUCUGGAGAAAUUUGCUUCAUAUGGGACAAUUUAACAUGGUUGAGCCAAAUAAAUAAUAUUCUCUUACAAGCAUCAACAGAUUAUUCUGCAGCUACAUCACAGAAAUAAAAAGACUGCAAAUUUAAAUGGCGUUGAGCCGAAGACGUUCUUUUACUAACUGUGAAGGAAUUUCAUUAGUCGAGGAAGGUCCCAGUCAGAAAUAUCACCAGAUCAGAUACUGGAAAUGAGAUUAAUGUGAACAGACCCUGAUUUACACUGAGGACAUGGACGUAAAGGUGUGCUAAAAAACUAGUUUGAUUCAUCCGAGGCAACAUAUGGAAGACAGAAAUCAUUAAAUAAAAUGGAAAUAUGUUUUUCUUUUGAUCAAACAGAGCAUUCUGUCCUUCUGUUAUUUUAGCUAAAUACCUUUCAGAACCACAGAUAGAUUAUUUAAAAUCCCACAUCUCAUAAUCGCUUUUAGGGCUGACAUCAUGUUAUGAGCUGGAGGUGCAGCUGCCUCUCCCCCACAGGGCUGUAGGCUCCAUAGGAGUGUUAAAAUGUGUUUGUCUUGUUGUGUUAUUGGGAGCCAGAAUAGAAGGAGUCAUGGCUCAAAACCAGCCGCCACUGCCCGUCAACAAAAACAAAGACAACUAUGGUUAAAUGUGAUAAGACCAAAGGACUGGACGGAGGCCAUCAUCAAAAAUGCUCACAUGUGCAGCGCACACUUCAUAUCAGGUUAGGGAAAAAGUAUUUCCUGUUGUAGGGAUGAAUAAGGUUAUGUGUAUUAAGGGUUAUCAUGUCCACCUCAUCAGAAACUGGGGAGGGAUUAAGAGGAAGAUUGGAUUUCUCUGCAACGCUAACUUUUUAGCACAUUAGCUAACGUUAGCUUCCAUAGCAAAACAAACAAGUGUGGUCCUCCUUUGUAAGAUUG